rnacentral:rRNA from 1 species
AGUGAACGCUGGCGGUAGGCCUAACACAUGCAAGUCGAACGGCAGCACAGUAAGAGCUUGCUCUUACGGGUGGCGAGUGGCGGACGGGUGAGGAAUACAUCGGAAUCUACUUUUUCGUGGGGGAUAACGUAGGGAAACUUACGCUAAUACCGCAUACGACCUACGGGUGAAAGCAGGGGAUCUUCGGACCUUGCGCGAUUGAAUGAGCCGAUGUCGGAUUAGCUGGUUGGCAGGGUAAAGGCCCACCAAGGCGACGAUCCGUAGCUGGUCUGAGAGGAUGAUCAGCCACACUGGAACUGAGACACGGUCCAGACUCCUACGGGAGGCAGCAGUGGGGAAUAUUGGACAAAGGGCGCAAGCCUGAUCCAGCCAUACCGCGUGGGUGAAGAAGGCCUUCGGGUUGUAAAGCCCUUUUGUUGGGAAAGAAAAGCAGCAGGUUAAUACCCCGCUGUUCUGACGGUACCCAAAGAAUAAGCACCGGCUAACUUCGUG